GUAGCUUGCCUGAGAAGAGGUUAGACAUUCAGUCCACAAAGCCAGGCUUCUCUCCGACCUUCCCCUAUACAUUUCCGAAGACAGAGAAGAGGAAAAAGGAGGUAGAGUCUGGUAUGAGGGCACCAGGGAACAUUUCCUUACUUCACAAUUUGGUGAACUGAGUAGAACUGCCUGACAUCACACAGAGGGUAAACUUCUGCCUAGGGCCAUGGAAAAAGGCAAGAAGGUCCCGUGACCAAGAAAUGACCAGCUCCACAGAGGAAAUGCAGGGCCACUCUCCGACUGGACCCCACUGUGCACAAGCCUGCUCAAUGUGAAGAUGACGAGGAUGAAAACCUUUAUGAUGAUCUACUCCUAUUUAUGUGGACUUGCUCUGGAUUAGGGAUGAGAAGACCUGACUCUACUGUUUUCUUGAUAAGUGACCUUGAACCAGACACAUGUGCUCAAGUUCCAUAUCUGUAAAAUGAAGAUACCUGGCCUUCCUACUUCACAAGGUUCUUUUGAAGAUCAAAUGUAAUACUGCAUAAUAAAGUGACUCAUAAAUUC